ensembl:snoRNA
AUAUUUUUGCAGUUCAUGAACAUGGUGAUAGGGUGUUCACACGAAUGUGUGAGAUGUGCCACACAUUGUGUGCCUCUGAACCUUGUUAUGAUCUUGGCACAUUACCUAUAUGACG